rnacentral:lncRNA from 1 species
GGAACAUUGACCCAAGUUGAAAACUUUUAAUUCCAGAAAAAGGUCAGGUGUUUCUGGUCAUAACUUUAUUAUUUCAAAUUUCUCUAAAAUUCUAAGUUUAAUCUGAAAGCAAGAUCAUGACAAAAUCAAAACUCGGAGGAGUGUGUUAGGCAAGAGCCACUCAAGCAGCAGAGGUGAGAUCUCACAACCUGAAGAGAGUUGUAAGGAGAGCACAGACUUUGGAAGAGCACGUCAGGGGGCCACUUGGACUGCUCCUCUUAGCUCAGUGACUGUGUGGAGGCCAUUUCCUGGAGGCUGAGCAUGGAGUCCCAGUGGCUCCACAGGGAUCUCUGGUGACCAAAGGAGGCAGCCUGGGAGACUCUGG